ACGGAAGGCAGCAGUGAGGAAUAUUGGUCAAUGGACGGAAGUCUGAACCAGCCAAGUCGCGUGAAGGAUGAAGGUAUUAUGUAUUGUAAACUUCUUUAGCAGUGGAGUAAUAAGGGGAUCGCGAUCCCUGAUGCAAGUACACUGAGAAUAAGGAUCGGCUAACUCCGUGCCAGCAGCCGCGGUAAUACGGAGGAUCCGAGCGUUAUCCGGAUUUAUUGGGUUUAAAGGGUGCGUAGGCGGGAUGUUAAGUCAGCGGUUAAAUAGUGUAGCUCAACUAUACUUUGCCGUUGAAACUGGCGUUCUUGAGUGUAAACGAGGUAGGCGGAAUGUGACGUGUAGCGGUGAAAUGCUUAGAUAUGUCACAGAACCCCGAUUGCGAAGGCAGCUUACCAGGAUACAACUGACGCUGAGGCACGAAAGCGUGGGUAUCAAACAGGAUUAGAUACCCUGGUA
rnacentral:rRNA from 1 species